rnacentral:rRNA from 1 species
GUGGCGACGAUGCGUAGGGGUUCUGAGAGGAAGGUCCCCCACACUGGUACUGAGACACGGACCAGACUCCUACGGGAGGCAGCAGUGAGGAAUAUUGGUCAAUGGGAGAGAUCCUGAACCAGCCAAGCCGCGUGAGGGAAGACGGCCCUAUGGGUUGUAAACCUCUUUUGUCGGAGAACAAAACCCGGGACGAGUCCCGGACUGCGUGUAUCCGAAGAAAAAGCAUCGGCUAACUCCGUGCCAGCAGCCGCGGUAAUACGGAGGAUGCGAGCGUUAUCCGGAUUUAUUGGGUUUAAAGGGUGCGUAGGCGGUCCGUUAAGUCAGCGGUAAAAUUGCGGGGCUCAACCCCGUCGAGCCGUUGAAACUGGCAGACUUGAGUUGGCGAGAAGUACGCGGAAUGCGCGGUGUAGCGGUGAAAUGCAUAGAUAUCGCGCAGAACUCCGAUUGCGAAGGCAGCGUACCGGCGCCACACUGACGCUGAGGCACGAAAGCGUGGGGAUCGAACAGGAUUAGAUACCCUGGUAGUCCACGCAGUAAACGAUGAAUGCUGGUUGUCCGGGUCGAAUGAGAUCUGGGCGGCGA